CCCUUCUCCCCCUCUUUUUUCACUCACCUCUCCAGCUUGCCAUGCAAGCCACCUUCCCCUCUCAAUUUCUCUCCUGUAUAUCUCCCUUUUCUAAUGCAUUCUUUCUCUCUUCCGCCAUGUCUUAUCUAGUUCUCCCUUCUCCUCCCUCUCUUUUUCUCUUUUGUUUUCCUUUUCUAUUGCAUUCUUUCUCUCUCCCGCCGUGCUUUUUUCUUACUUGUGCUUUUUCCCUGUUGAUUUUAAACAUAUAGGGGUUACUGUUUUUUUGUUGUUACAGGGAUGAGAUCGAUGUUGAACAUGGAGGAAAACCCAAGGAGGCAACCUUUUUUCCCCUUGGCAGACGAUCUGAUAGAUGAAGAAUUUUACGACGAACAGUUGCCAGAAAAAGAAACAACGGCUCAUUCCAAAGCAGGUUUUUCUUCUGCUCAAUUGCUCUUACCUAUUCAGGUUUGUUACCUGAAGAUCACUGAGAAAAGUGGAUCCCAGGAUCUUCCAUGGGUGAGAUUUAAAAUUGAAUGGCUAAAAGUGUUGGCUAAUUAAUGGAGAGGCAAUGCGUGCUACCAUCAAAUAUUUUCAAGUGGAACCAUGACUGGUUUGUUUUUUAUUGAAAAUGGAAGAUGAUCAGUUGGGACUACCGCAAGUUUGAUUCUGUCUUGGCGUUUAAUCACAAAUAAUUAGUCAUGGUGAGAGACGAAAUUGUCCAUUGAAGAGCAUGUCUACCUGCUAUACAAGGCGAUUCAAAUAACUCACCUCAAGUGGAAUAUGUUAACUUGUUUAUGUAAAGAACAAGUUCUUUUUUUUC